CUUCCCAUUCCGAACAGAGAAGUUAAGCCCACUUGCGCCGAUGGUACUGCAAUGCAAUGCGGGAGAGUAGGAGGCCGCCAUCU
rnacentral:rRNA from 3 species